rnacentral:rRNA from 1 species
AGAGUUUGAUCCUGGCUCAGGAUGAACGCUGGCGGCGUGCCUAAUACAUGCAAGUCGAACGGGAGUGCUUGCACUCCAGUGGCGAACGGGUGAGUAACACGUAGGUAAUCUAGCAUUAAGACGAGGAUAGCUUCUAGAAAUGGGAGAUAAUACUGGAUAGGAAAUUUUCCUGCAUGGGGAAAUUUUUUAAAGAUUUAUCGCUUAAUGGGGAGCCUGCGGUGCAUUAGCUAGAUGGUGAGGUAACGGCUCACCAUGGCGAUGAUGCAUAGCCGGUCUGAGAGGACGAACGGCCACAUUGGGACUGAGAACGGCCCAAACUCCUACGGGAGGCAGCAGUAGGGAAUUUUCGGCAAUGGGCGGAAGCCUGAACCCGAGCAACGCCGCGUGAUUGAAGAAGUAUUUCGGUAUGUAAAAAUCUUUUAUUUGGGACGAAAAAUCAAAAUUGACGGUACCAAAUGAAUAAGCCCCGGCUAACUACGUGCCAGCAGCUGC